CUAUUUUAACCAAAUAACCCCACCCCCAUCACUUUUUCCCCACCAGCCGUAACCUCUUCUUUUCUUUCUCGCGUUCUGCAACUUUCUUCUGCUCAGGGACAUCAAAUUCUCCUUUCCCUCCUUUUAUUCUUUUGUCCUUUAGCAAAGAAAAACAACAGCAGCCCCAUUUAAUAUAUUUACUCAUGAAUGAGGUUGAUGACACUUCAAUUGGGAGAACUCUGAGUUAACAAUUGGGGUAGAAGUUGUGCAUUGAGGGAGGAGAAGGAAAUUCAACUAUUCAGAAUUUCUAUUUCAAUUGUAUUUAAGAUUUACCGGGUGAAGAUACGUUGGGUUGUCGCGCAUUUGCUGAGGACGGUCCAAUUGUUUCGUCAUAGCUAUUCUUCAGCAGCUAUAGGGAGUCAUAGGUGAUUUUAGUUUGGGGUUGACGGUAUUGUUUUAUUUUAAAAGUUGACGCUGAGCGUUGAAUUUUGGUUUUGUACCAUUUCUUGAAAUUGUGGAUUUGGAGAAUAUUAUUUAGCAGGUUAUGUUAUUUUGAGAUUUCAGAAAUACAGAGGAGACUUUGUCGUUUUUUUUUUUAUAAA